AUGAGAGUGGGCAUGGCUGCUUCGCUUUCAACUUCUCCUUACACAUGCUCCUCCAAAUCCAUUACUUUGCGCAAGUGUAGCCCCAAGAUCAAACUUGGAAGAAAUCGCUUCAUAAUUUCUGCUUCAACCUCCGUUCUUGCCGGUGGUUCUCCCCUUCUUCAAGCAGCCAAGCAUACGGUGGACGCAUAUGUAAAAAGUGGAAUGGUUAUUGGCUUGGGGUCUGGACAAGCUUCUGGUAUGGCCAUUCAAUAUCUUGGCCGGCUGCUUCGGACAGGUGCUUUGAAAGAUAUAGUUGGGGUACCCAUGUCCAUAGCAAGUGCAAGUGAAGCUGCCAAGGCAGGAAUUCCAUUAGACCAGUUCAAUGAUAGUUCUCAAAUUGAUUUUUCAUUUGAUGAUGCUGAUAUUAUAGAAGAAGGAACACUUAUUGCUGUCAUUGGGCAUAGGAAACCGCAAGUGGAAGAUUCAAUAAUUCAAGAGAAGUCUAUAAUAAAUGCCUCCAACCAGCUUGCAUUCAUGAUAAAAGAAAGCCAAUAUAUGGGUGGCCCUGAGGGUUCGAUUCCGGUUUUAGUGAAUUCUCUUAAUUGGAUGCAAACUGCAGAAGAAAUUGAUGAUCUCUUUUUAGGUGAUGCAGAGGUAUGGAGGAGGCCAUCGAUUGGGCAUGCAGGUCCCCUUGGGGGCGACUUCCCACUUGUCACUAGAGAAGGGCAUAACGUACUGGAUGUCAUAUUUACAUCUCCUAUAUCAAGCCUAGCUGAAGUAGCGGAAAGUCUUGAUCAGAUCAAUGGAGUCGUAGAUCAUGGAGUCAUUUCUAAAUUUCCAUGCACGGCGGUUAUUGCAUCAGAAAGUGGGCUGCAAAUUAUUGACAAUCUGCAGAGGAAUAUGGCAUAGAAUGAUUGCGGUUCACAAAUCAAUGCCAUCACAGAAAAUUUAAACAUUUAUGCACUUCAAGCGAGAUACGUGGAACAACGGGAAACACCAAAGAUUUAGAAUUCGCAUGGUCCUGAGUGCGAAUAUUAUCCUCCUUGGGAGUGGCCUAGCCAAAUGUCGUUGUCAAUGUCAUAUCAGUCUACCCACACAGGUAUUUCUUUAGAGGAUAUAGUUAGGGAACUUUCUAAUCGCUCUGGUGAGAUUGUGUAAGAAUGUCCCUACUAUUAUCAAGAACCCAUCAUUUUCCAGCAAGAUGACCUCUAUUUCGAACGUGAGGUUAAAGCUAAGAUUCGAAGUUUGAGCAACCAAAUCGCUCGGAUCGCUGAAUCAGUUAGGAAAUUAGAGGAGUCUUGGGAAUCAUCUUCUGAGGAUGCCAAGGUGAGCAGCCUAGAUACGAGCAUCAUUAAUUCCGCAGAGCAGCUUGUCCCCCAAAAUUAUGAUCAGGGUAAGGCGUUGAAUUAUUUAAAGUGUGAAUAUACUAAUGAUUUUUCUAAGUGUGCAGUAAAUCAUUUACAGCCAUCCAACGUCUGUGGCACUGAGGCCGAUCUUGUGAUGGAAUAUCUGUGGACCGAUUCUGAUGACGAUGCUUGUCUUUUGCCACACCAAGAACAAGUUUGUGAGAUUAAGUAUGACUAUGGGCUUACUUUGGAAAAAUCCCAGGCGCGGUCGCAUAAGCCAAGUACCCACCAAUGUGAUCAAGCAAGAACUAUCAGAAAAGCGGAUGAUCGCAUUGCUAUAAGCGAUAAGGCUUGACAUGACAUGGGCGGUGGGAGUCAAAUCACAGACUGUGUUGGUAGCUGGCAAGAGAACUUUGUGAAGAUUCAAUGAACUUCUGACAUGUUGCAGAUGGCGCGACAGGAUAUAUGAGAAAAAUAAGAUAAAGUAAAGAAAAAAAGCAUCCUCAAGCACCUAUAAAUAUCCAUGUAAUUUUCAUGUAAAAAUAGCAGUGGGAGACGAAAAAAUUCCGAGAGGAAACUCUGCUAUAAACCUUCCUGUAUUUUCAUAGAAAUUCCCUAGUGAGAACUUAGGAUUCCUAUGAGAGAGGAAGGAGAAUACCACUGUUUAACGUUCUAAAUGAAGCAGUCGCCAAAGGAGCAGUAGGGAGCAAGGAAUUGUAGGCCACGACUUGAUUCUAUACUCUUUUUCUUUUCCUUUGUAUAUUUGCAUUGUACUUUCUUUAUUGACAAAUUUAGACUUUACAUUAUGAAUACAUGUUCAUCUUAUCUUA